AUCCCCAAAUGUACCUCUCCACCUUCUUCGAUUCCGGGUUUACCAUACUUGGGCACAAGGCUGACAAAUCACUGAACCUAGCCGUGUAAGUGAUUACGUCCGAUCCGGUCAUCCUUAGGUUCCAUAGCUCAUGCUCUAAUUUUUGGAUUUCGCCCCUCGGGCAGUAUUCUUCCAGCAUCAAGAUUUUGAGAUCUUCCCAGCUCAUGGCAUUAGCAACUGGGAGAGAUAGGGCAUCCACAUGUCCCUUCCACCAGGUGAGGGCUCGAUCAGAGAAAGUGCAAGCGGCGAACUUGACUUUGCUGGUCUCUGGGCAUGCACAUAUCUCGAAGACCGUUUCGGUCUUCUCGAACCAUUGCAUAAGUGCAAUGACUCCUCCUACCCCGUUGAAAGUUUUUGGCUUUGCAUUCGAAAAUUCCUUGUAUGUGCAUUCUCUGAUAUAACCAUGGCCAGUGCCAUGAUUUAAGUGGUUGGUACUGCUUCCAGUUCCACCAGCUUCGUUAGUGUUUAUCUGCGUAAGAGCAGCUGCUACUGCUGCAGUGAUAGCAGCCUGAACCAUGACAGGAUCAUAUUGUGGGGGUGGUGGCGGCGGCGUAGGUGUUGCGUUGUUGAUGCGACGUGCAGAUCUACGAGGCGGCAUCGCUGCCAAAGAAAUAACAAUGAAGACAAUAAGUCUUUUAAUGAUUGUAUGGUUUGGGUAGUAGGGGUCUCCUGCUAGGUGGAAAUCCGGCCAUUGUGUUUGUACGAGAAUAGGGAGAUAAGGAUUGUCUAGAACUAAGGCACAUAAGGUUGACAUCAAAGUUAAACUAUCGUAUGCAUAAAAUACUCCUAUAGUAUUCUAAAUGUUAUGUUUGAUUCUAAAGUUUAUAAGUUUGGUAAGUUUUAAAUUUGUUGUCCAUUGCAGACACUCCUUGGCAUACGUUAGUCGGCUCUUGGACAAAUAUAGUUGAUCAGGCUAUAUUCUUCCCAGUUCCGAUUACAUGUCCCAAGGCAUACCUGCACUGCACAACUUAUUUAUAAUACUUCUAUAUUGUUUUAAUUAUGAUACUGACCAUGUUAUUAAUAUGAAAUGAAUGCAUGCCUACUUUACAAAAACUAAAUAAAUUUAAUUUUAAAAGUAUGACUCUUACUCAGAGUGUUUUUGCCCAGUUGUGUUUAUAGUUGUAUACCAAAAAUGGUUUUGAUAUACUUAAUUCACUAUAAACAAUGCUCUGAUACCAAUCUGUCACACCCCCAAACCAGAACGGCGGAAACGUUCGGGGGCGGAGGACGUCAUGUCAAAUAUCAUAACAAUUGAAUAGUAAAGAAAGUACACACCACCAUAAUAUAAAUAUAUUUGAAAAGUUUACAUGAUUGUAUAUGUUACAUGUUUGCAAAAGAAAUCAAAUACAAUAUGGUGAUCCAAAAUAUGUUACUAACGCCAACGCGUUAGUCUUCAAAAGUAGUUGCUACCUGGUCUAGCAGUUUCCUGAGAAUACAAGUUAUUUCAAAGAAAAAGUGUCAACAUUUAAGUUGGUGAGUUCAUAAGUGGUGUUUUGAGAAAAUGUAUGCCAUUCGAAAGUGCGUGUAUGUUUUCCAGAAAAUACCUUAUUUUCUAUUUGAUGUAUGAAAUAGUUUGAAAGAUUGUUGUAUGUACUAUAUGUAUUUGAACCAGGAAAAUCCCUUAUUUUCCUAAAAGUGAAAUGCAGUCUCAAAUGACCAAGACUGUAAGCUAUAAGAAACUAUGACAUGCUCAAAAGAAUGAUGUUGUAAAUCGUUAUUGUACAAAAUGAAUGUAUUUGAACCAGGAAAAUCCCUUAUUUUCCUAAAAGUGAAGUGCAGUCUUAUUGUUAAGUAAAACUAGUUGUGGAAGUGUUUUAACCUGAGUUUUGAUCAUGCCGAUAAUACCCUAGAAUAUAGUUAUUACCCCUCGAGCAUGAUUGAGUUAUGUAUUACUACGUGCAUGAGUCAUUGUUUUCGCGUGUUGUGAGUUCCUCAUAACCAUACUAGACGCAGUACCUAAUGUUGAAAUUUGUCACCCCAAUGACGGACUAUAGCUAACAGUCAGGGUGCAGAGUUGUCAGCCCCGUAUAGAUCUAUACACACUUGUCACGCUCUCCCUCCAGGAGACUCUGGUUAUAGGUGAGGACUUUCGUUUGGUACAAACAAAGCCAUAUGCCAUCACAUGAUUGCUAACAACAAGUUCACGAGUAAUAUGAUGAAAAUCGUUCGUAUGAAAUGAUUUCGUUUUCUACCGUGUUACAAAAACGUGAUGAUGAGUUGAGUUUUCUUGUAAAAGCAUCAUGUUAUAGUUGAAAUGGUUACUCUUGAUAUGAUGUAGUAUGCAAACGUAUAAAUAAAACCUAUUUCUAUUUAUAAAACAUAUUGUAUCCCAAGAGGGUAAAGUUGUGUUGUGAGGUGUUUUGCAUGAUAAUAACUUCAUAAGAUAGUUUAAAACAACAGUAUGAAAAGUAUAUAAAAAGAUCGAUGUUUCACACGAUUUUAGUUGUGUGUUUACUUGUAUUCCCCCCCUUAAAAGUGUUUCAAAAGCAUUUAAAAAGCAUUUAAAGUGUGGUUGUAGGGGUAUGAACUCACUUGAUUGAAGUGGUUGAUUUGAAGUAGUCGAGAGGAGAAUCGAGCAGAACUUCGACAGGAAGAGUUGAAAACGCGGGAAAAUAUCGGGAUUCUCGGGAAUCUCGGGAAUCUCGAGAACACAAAACCUUCCUUCGGGACUUGAAGGUGAAAACCGGGGCUUUGGGAGGGUCUCGGGGGCUUAAACGCAGAGUUUCGGCGCGAGAAAGAAAGGAACUGAACAAUGGAACUCGGAGCCCUUGAAAUCUACUUAUAGGGGCAUUUUUGGGGUGUGCCACGUCGUGGCAAGUGAUGGCCACGUCGUGGGGAGUCAAACCUAUCCUCUUCCAUUGAUUGGACGCCCUCAGUCACUUGCCGGGUCGCGGCAAGCUUGUGCCACGUCGUGGGGCCUGACAGCCUCAGAUUUUGGACCCCGAACUUGUAAAAUCCAUAACUUUCGCAUACGAGCUCCGUUUUCGACGUUCUUUAUAUGCACGCGUAGCUAAAAAUAUGAUCUACAACUCUCGUUUAGACUUCAUCGGCAAAUUUUGAAUUUAUUUUUAAUUAUUUAUUUUUAACGGGCCGGAACACGAAAAGUCCGUUAAAAUUCCAUAACUUCUUCAUCCGAUGUCCGUUUUCGUCAGACUUUUCGCCGUUGCGCUACUAAUGUUGAGACCUUCGAUUCUCAUUUAGGUUGUUUUGGUCAAAAGUAUCUCGAGCUCUAUUUCGAGUUUUUAGCUGUCUACUGCUAUACCCGAACCUUGGAAAAAUCAUAACUUCCUCAUACGAAGUCAGAUUUGGACGUUCUUUUUAUGUACGCUCACGGUUUGAUGUUAUCUAUAACUUUUAUUUAGAUACUUAAGGCUAAAAACUAUUGUAUUGAAACUUCGCGUUUUUCGUUUAAUCGGUGUUGCCGGUUUUGUCGGGAAUUUUAGAAUGGUUAUAACUUCCUCGUUAUAACUCGGAUUUUUGUGUUCUUUAUAUGUAUGAAAACCUUGUUACGAUAUUUACCACUUAGUAUACUCAAUUACGGUUUUAUAAAAGUUUAAAUUUUGACCUGAAUUUUGCUGUUGUUACAUUAUCCCCCCGUUAGAGAGAAUUUCGUCCCGAAAUUCGCAUUUUGACUGGGACUCCAAUUCUUGCGGGCAGGCGAGAGUGCUUCUGGUCGAUUUGUUCCUCUUGUUCCUUUAUGAAUCUAGAUCCUAAUGUGCGUGUUUCAGCGGACCUUCAUUACUCCGCCUAUCACUUCGACCGAUCGGGAUCGUGUGGUUUUGGGUUUAUUUACUUAUGUUCUUCUAAAUGCUAGCACAUUCACUCGAUGCAUUAGGGCAGCUACGUUUUAAAGUUCAUGGUUGAAUUUACUCCUAGUUUCUGAGCUUGGAUUUGAAUGUUCUGUUGGGGGAUACUACAGGAAGGUUGUAAAGAUAUAGUACUCCUCACAUGAGUACCUCGAGGUUUUUAAACUAGAAACCAAUUAGGGUUAGUGUCGGGUUUGUCGUGAUAAAUCGAUCGAGUUUCGUUAGUCGAUGGUUAAAGUGAAAGGGUCUACUGGUAUGGGUAGGGCCACACCAAUCCACGUCGAAUGCCGACGUCGGUACUUCUCAUUGUAAGACGUUCGUUAGUGGGAUAGUGCAUUCUACGUAUGUGUUCUCAGUGCUUUUUAGUCUAUCUCUAUUAUUACUACUAUGAAAGUUUUGAUUAAUGAUUGGGGUGUUUAUUCGAGUAGAUUUUUAAACUUGCGACUCACGGAACUCUUCUGCGUUCCUACUAUCAAAAUGGAAUGUAUGCAAAUAAGUUAUCAAGGAGAAAUGUACCCAGAAUAACCGUGGGGUCUGCAAUAGCCUCCUCUUGGCCCAUUGCGAAUACUCGGCCUCCUCCACUAGCAUUCUUGUUGUUUGCCUUCGGGCAGUUCCGUCGGAAGUGUCCCGUUGCUCCGCACUCAUAACAAGUACGGUCUACUCCCACAUUUGCAGCUGGAGCGGUUGGUUGGGCUAUUUCCCCGCAGUAGCGGACGGUGUGUCCCUUACUAUUGCACCUAAUGCAAUGCAUUUCACGACAGGGUCCGUGAUGAUGAAAGUUGCAUCGGUUGCACUUAGGCUGGUUGCCGUUGUACGACCUUGUGGGUGUAGGGGUGGUAGGGAUAGUAACAGAAUGAGCUGUCACUAACUGUUGCCUCUUGGGGUUCUCUUGCAUGGUUUCCCCCUUCCUCUUAUCCCAGGGUUUCCUUCGGUCCUCUAUAUCCUUCGGUGGCUCCGAGACAGCGGUAAUAGUACCCUGUUUAACACCGUGAUCAAUCAAUCGUUGAGCCAAGCGCUUCGCGCUGUCAAACGUGAUUGGGUUAGAGGCCAGGACAUGCCCUUGGAUCUGGGGUGAUAAUCCCCAAAUGUACCUCUCCACCUUCUUCGAUUCCGGGUUUACCAUACUUGGGCACAAGGCUGACAAAUCACUGAACCUAGCCGUGUAAGUGAUUACGUCCGAUCCGGUCAUCCUUAGGUUCCAUAGCUCAUGCUCUAAUUUUUGGAUUUCGCCCCUCGGGCAGUAUUCUUCCAGCAUCAAGAUUUUGAGAUCUUCCCAGCUCAUGGCAUUAGCAACUGGGAGAGAUAGGGCAUCCACAUGUCCCUUCCACCAGGUGAGGGCUCGAUCAGAGAAAGUGCAAGCGGCGAACUUGACUUUGCUGGUCUCUGGGCAUGCACAUAUCUCGAAGACCGUUUCGGUCUUCUCGAACCAUUGCAUAAGUGCAAUGACUCCUCCUACCCCGUUGAAAGUUUUUGGCUUUGCAUUCGAAAAUUCCUUGUAUGUGCAUUCUCUGAUAUAACCAUGGCCAGUGCCAUGAUUUAAGUGGUUGGUACUGCUUCCAGUUCCA
rnacentral:lncRNA from 1 species